rnacentral:misc_RNA from 1 species
UCUCCGUUGGUGAACCAGCGGAGGGAUCAUUACCGAGUUUACAACUCCCAAACCCCUGUGAACAUACCAUUUGUUGCCUCGGCGGUGCCUGCUUCGGCAGCCCGCCAGAGGAUCCAAACCCUUGAUUUUAUACAGUAUCUUCUGAGUAAAUGAUUAAAUAAAUCAAAACUUUCAACAACGGAUCUCUUGGCUCUC